rnacentral:rRNA from 1 species
UACGAAGGGUGCAAGCGUUAAUCGGAAUUACUGGGCGUAAAGCGUGCGUAGGUGGUUUGUUAAGUCUGUCGUGAAAGCCCUGGGCUCAACCUGGGAACUGCGAUGGAUACUGGCAGACUAGAGUGCGGUAGAGGGUAGUGGAAUUUCCGGUGUAGCAGUGAAAUGCGUAGAGAUCGGAAGGAACAUCUGUGGCGAAGGCGACUACCUGGGCCAGCACUGACACUGAGGCACGAAAGCGUGGGGGAGCAAACAGG